rnacentral:ncRNA from 1 species
GUGGUCGUACUGGACUGGAGUAGUAACUUAAAAGGGUUUCCACAGAGAGUUAGUGGUGGUGCGAACUAACGAAAAACUUUAAGUGAACUUGCCAAUAAAUAAUGAAAAAUAAAUGACAUCUCUUACUAUUUAAAAUGAAGUGCACUUCUAGGAGUGAAUGAGGGUGGUACCGCGGCAAAAGUCGUCCCUUAG